UCCGUAUUUGUUCCGUAUUCGCUUUCUGACUGUUGCUAACCCUAACCCUUGGAUGGCCUGCUGUUUCAGAGAGAAUCUGCGGUUAAAUCAUCUUAGAUCCGCACUGUGAACGUACUUUUAACACAACACUUUGUUUUUGACACAAUGAUUUGUACUAUCAAUGCGCGGAUCCGCGGCUAAACCGGCUUUCCACCUGAGUGGAAAAAAGCUGCAUCCACCUGUUGUCCGCGGAUUUAACUAUGACAUCAGGAGCCCCUGUCCUUCUGCUGAGUGUCCCCAUCAGGAGCCCGGCACGCUGAUCAGAAAAUAUACUAUGGUUAAUAAGAAGAUGGACAUAACAGCAUGAUAAAGACCCUCUGGAGGAUUCCCUCUGCUGGGCCAAGUUCCAAAAAUGUAGAGACAGACCCUCUAACAUGCUGUGGUUGAGUUUAAAGACUGACCCUCUAUGCUGUGAGAAAGGGGAAGUCCAGAGCUGGACACUGACAGACUGGAUCUUCACCAGUAGGACUGAAGAGGAGCCAGCCUCACUACACCUCUGCCUCAAAACCUCUGCCUCAGACUGAAGCUAAAGACAGAGGCUCUGAAGCUCCCACACUGCACACUCUAUAAUAACAACCAUCCGUCUAAUUGUACUGUGGUGGUAAACACAAGUUAAGUUUUAGUUUUAACAGUAUGGUAUGGCUACACUCAUCUGUCCAGGCUUUUACUCAUAUAGCUUAUAUUUGUUUUUUGCCAUUUAAAAAAAACAAAAACAACUUUGCUUAACUUGAACUAUUUUUAGUAAAAACUGUAAAUUGUCAUUUUCAUAUUAAGAAUGAAGCAUUGGUUAACUCAAAGGGUAUAUAAGUCCU